AUUGAACGCUGGCGGCAUGCUUUACACAUGCAAGUCGAACGGGGUGAGGAGCUUGCUCCUCAUCUAGUGGCGAACGGGUGAGUAAUACAUCGGAACGUACCGUGUAGUGGGGGAUAACGUAGCGAAAGUUACGCUAAUACCGCAUACGAUCCACGGAUGAAAGCAGGGGACCUUCGGGCCUUGUGCUAUACGAGCGGCCGAUGUCUGAUUAGCUAGUUGGUGGGGUAAAGGCCCACCAAGGCAACGAUCAGUAGCGGGUCUGAGAGGAUGAUCCGCCACACUGGGACUGAGACACGGCCCAGACUCCUACGGGAGGCAGCAGUGGGGAAUUUUGGACAAUGGGCGCAAGCCUGAUCCAGCCAUGCCGCGUGUCUGAAGAAGGCCUCGGUUGUAAGGACUUUGUUCAGGGAGCAAACCCAGACAGCUAAUAUCUGUUGGGAGUGAGAGUACCU
rnacentral:rRNA from 1 species